CGCGCCCUGCGCGGUUCGACAGUCGCCUUUUUUUAACCCACAGUUAGUUUACGGGACCCCGAAGUAUUGUUCCCGCUUCAAGCGCAGGCCUCCCGCCCUGCGGAAGUUGGAAGCGCAGCGAUUCGGGAUAGGGGACCCACCUGCCAGAUCGUGCAGGUUACUAAUCUGGCGACAUCGGCCGUGUGGGGUUUCU
rnacentral:other from 1 species